rnacentral:rRNA from 1 species
AGCGCAGACGGUUAUUUAAGUCUGAAGUGAAAGCCCUCGGCUCAACCGAGGAAUUGCUUUGGAAACUGGAUAACUUGAGUGCAGUAGAGGAGAGUGGAACUCCAUGUGUAGCGGUGGAAUGCGUAGAUAUAUGGAAGAACACCAGUGGCGAAGGCGGCUGUCUGGUCUGUAACUGACGCUGAGGCUCGAAAGCAUGGGUAGCAAACA